AUUGAACGCUGGCGGCGUGCCUAACACAUGCAAGUCGAGCGGCAGCGCGGUAGCAAUACUGGCGGCGAGCGGCGGACGGGUGAGUAAUGCUUGGGAAUCUGCCUAUCAGUGGGGGACAACCCGGGGAAACUCGGGCUAAUACCGCAUACGUUCUUCGGAAGAAAGCAGGGGAUCGCAAGACCUUGCGCUGAUAGAUGAGCCCAAGUCGGAUUAGCUAGUUGGUGAGGUAAUGGCUCACCAAGGCGACGAUCCGUAGCUGGUCUGAGAGGACGACCAGCCACACCGGAACUGAGACACGGUCCGGACUCCUACGGGAGGCAGCAGUGGGGAAUAUUGGACAAUGGGGGCAACCCUGAUCCAGCGACGCCGCGUGGGUGAAGAAGGCCUGCGGGUUGUAAAGCCCUUUCGUUGGGGAAGAACAGUGUCGACCUAACACGUCGGCACCUUGACGUUACCCAAAGAAGAAGCACCGGCUAACUCUGUGCCAGCAGCCGCGGUAAAA
rnacentral:rRNA from 1 species